AUGACUCAGUCUCCAUCCUCCUUGCCUGUGUCUCGUGAAGACAGAGUCACCCUCAACUGCAGGGCCAGUCAGGGUUUUGGCAGUAAUUUAAACUGGUACCAGAAGAAACUAGGGCAAGCUCCUAAGCUCCUCAUCUAUCUUGCAAUCAGUUUGCAACCUGGGAUCACCUCGAGGUUCAGUGGCAGUGGAUCUGGAACAGAUUUCACUCUUACCAUCAGCAGCCUGGAGCCUGAAGAUGUUGCCAAUUAUUACUGUCAACAAGGUAGCAGUUCCCCUCCCACAGUGACACAGGCCAUGACAAAAACCUUCCAGGGAGCCAAAGUGUGA